UACGAAGGGGGCUAGCGUUGCUCGGAAUCACUGGGCGUAAAGGGUGCGUAGGCGGGUCUUUAAGUCAGGGGUGGAAUCCUGGAGCUCAACUCCAGAACUGCCUUUGAUACUGAAGAUCUUGAGUUCGGGAGAGGUGAGUGGAACUGCGAGUGUAGAGGUGAAAUUCGUAGAUAUUCGCAAGAACACCAGUGGCGAAGGCGGCUCACUGGCCCGGUACUGACGCUGAGGUGCGAAAGCGUGGGGAGCAAACAGG
rnacentral:rRNA from 1 species